rnacentral:lncRNA from 1 species
GGGAGAAGCUCUCAAAGGUUUACGACGUCCGUGAUCCCCAGGCGGUGUUUGUCUUUGGGAUGAGAACCAAGUUUGGCGGCGGCAAGUCGUCUGGAUUCGGUCUCAUCUACGACUCGGUCGAGGCUGCAAAGAAAUUCGAGCCAAAAUACCGUCUCGUCAGGGUGAGCUUAGUUCUUUUGAUUCUCGGCGCCUUCGCGAGCAACAGAUUUCUCACCUUGGUUUCGUUUUCCAUUCCAGAACGGACUUGCCACCAGAGAGCAAAAAUCGAGGAAGCAGCUCAAGGAGCGGAAGAACAGAGCGAAG